UACGUAGGGUGCGAGCGUUAAUCGGAAUUACUGGGCGUAAAGCGUGCGCAGGCGGUUGGCAAAGUCAGCUGUGAAAGCCCCGGGCUCAACCUGGGAAUUGCGGUUGAGACUGGCACGCUCGAGUUCGGGAGAGGAUGGUGGAAUUCCCAGUGUAGAGGUGAAAUUCGUAGAUAUUGGGAAGAACACCGAUGGCGAAGGCAGCCAUCUGGACCGACACUGACGCUGAGGCGCGAAAGCGUGGGGAGCAAACAGG
rnacentral:rRNA from 1 species